rnacentral:tRNA from 1 species
CAAAGCGUAGCUUAAUCAAAGCAUCUGACUUACACUCAGAAGAUUUCACAUCACCGUGACCACUUUGA